rnacentral:lncRNA from 10 species
CUGAGUGUAGUGGCACAAUCUCGGCUCACUGCUACCUCUAUCCCCCGGGUUCAAGUGAUUCUCCUGCCUCAGCCUCCCAAGCAGCUGGGAUUACAAGUGUGCGCCACCAGACCCAGCUAAUUUUUGUAUUUUCAGUAGAGACAGGGUUUCACCAUGUUGGUCAGGCUGGUCUCAAACUCCUGACCUCAGGUGAUCCACCUGCCUCAGCCUCCCAAAGUGCUGGGAUUACAGGCAUGAGCCACUGCGCCCGGCUGGUAAGCAUUUGCGGAGUGCAUGAGUGAGGAAUGGGAAUGGAGGACUGAGUUAGUAAAUGAGCGACUAGAUACGAGAUCAGAUGGGUGCUCAGGGUAGUGCUUCUCGUGCCUCCUCGUCCUGAGCCCUGCCCCUCUACCCUCAGGUAGACCCUUCGACCCUCAGGUAUCCAUUGUCAGGUCCACAGUCAGAGUCAUCGGGGCCCUUGUGUUUGGCCACCACUUCCUCUUAGAGGAUCCCAUCUUCCAGGAACUGACUCAAGCCAUCGACUUUGGCCUGGCAUUUGUCAGCACUGUGUGGCGCCGGGUAAUUGGCAUUUGGGGAGGCAGGUGUGCAGGCCAUUACCUUAGGGGCCCGAGGCAGGCAGGGGCCUCAGCCAGGGCCUGGCAGGGAGGGUGCAAGGUGGGCAGGAGGGAGACCGUGGCUUCUGCCUGGUGAGCUGACACAUUCAGAGCAUCAAACCUUUGUUGUGGUUCAGCAUGAAUGCAUGGGCAAGGAAUCAGAGGCUGGUUAUAUCCUAGGACAUACAGCUUUCUGGACCUGCAACAUCCCAGCGAAGCCCUAAGCACAGCUGCUCUGACCACAGCUCUCAUUUCUGUCUAAAUUAUUUGGGGAGUCUCCAGAUGAGAGGCAGCCCUGGGUUACUCAAGUCAAAGGCUCCAGCCCACUUUGGAGCCCCCCGACUCAGAGGCUGGCUCCUGAGUAGGCCCUGGGUGGGCGUCUCUCUCCACAGCUGUAUGACGUGUUUCCCUGGGCCCUCUGCCACCUCCCAGGACCCCACCAGGAGAUAUUUAGGUACCAAGAGGUCGUGCUGAGCUUAAUCCACCAGGAGAUCACCAGGCACAAACUCAGGGCACCGGAGGCCCCCAGGGACUUCAUCAGCUGCUACCUGGCCCAGAUCUCCAAGGGCAGGGCUGGCUUCUACAGACAUGGGUAGGGUGGGAAGCAGAAGACCUGGCUGAUGUCAGGGCCAGAACACCAGGGCAGCCACCCACCAACAUCAAUGCAGUCCUGAGAAUCAGGCCCUCUCAAGGGGUUGGAACCUCAAGUUCUGGCCGCACAGGUCUCAGAUCAGGCUUCAAGGAAACCCCAGGGCUCUGUCAGGAGAGAAUUUUAGACCUGGAGCUGCGCCCCCCACUCGCCCACCCCCGACUCGCCAGGCCAUGGAUGACCCUGUCUCCACAUUCAACCAGGAGAACCUGGUCUAGGUGGUGAUCGACCUGUUUCUGGGAGGCACCGACACCACAGCCACCACCCUGUGCUGGGCACUCAUCCACAUGAUCCAGCACGGAGCUGUCCAGGGUGACAGGCCCUUGGUCACACUCUGGCUGACUGCCCCAUGCAUGGGGCUUCUGGGCCAUGGGCAUUGCCUCCAUCACUCUCCUUGCUCUGUGGCCCCAGGGGUGGGUCCUGCUCUCGCCACUGUGGUACAGGAAGUGUUCAUGGCUUCGAGUCAGACAGGAGGGGCUUCAGUUCCCACCCUGCUGCUUACUGCGUAAUGCUGGGCAAGUCAUUCCACCUCUCAGACCCAGUGUACAAUGGACAACACUAUUCUACUCAUUCAGUAAUGAUUCAGCACCUACUAAGUGCCAGGCCCUGUGCCGAUGUCCACCUCAAGAUCACAACUGUGGAGGGGAAAAUGUAGCUGGAUUUCUCUCAAGGACAAACUGACUAUGACCUGAAUUCAAAUCUGGUGCCACAAGUUUCGUGACCUUGGGCAAAAGUACCUGUCCUGUUAGAGCCUCAGUUUCUCCAUCUGUAAAAUGGAGACAACAGUCCCUCCUCCAUAAUGCUUUUUUUUUUAGACGGUAUCUCACUCUGUCACCCAGGCUGGAGGGCAG